rnacentral:rRNA from 1 species
UACGAGUGCCUCAAGCGUUAUCCGGAAUCAUUGGGCGUAAAGGUUGUGUAGGUGGUUGUAUUAGUCUUCUGUUAAAUUCUUCGGCUUAACCGGGGGCAUGCAGGGGAAACGGUACGACUAGAGGAUGCGAGGGGUCUGUGGAAUUCAUAGUGUAGCGGUAAAAUGCGUUGAUAUUAUGGAGAACACCAAAAGCGAAGGCAGCAGACUGGAGCACUCCUGACACUGAAACAAGAAAGCGUGGGUCGCGAAUGGG